rnacentral:rRNA from 1 species
UACGGGGGGGGCAAGCGUUGUUCGGAGUUACUGGGCGUAAAGGGCUCGUAGGCGGCCAACUAAGUCAGACGUGAAAUCCCUCGGCUUAACCGGGGAACUGCGUCUGAUACUGGAUGGCUUGAGAUUGGGAGAGGGAUGCGGAAUUCCAGGUGUAGCGGUGAAAUGCGUAGAUAUCUGGAGGAACACCGGUGGCGAAGGCGGCAUCCUGGACCAACACUGACGCUGAGGAGCGAAAGCCAGGGGAGCAAACGGG